rnacentral:rRNA from 1 species
UACGAAGGGGGCUAGCGUUAUUCGGAAUUAUUGGGCGUAAAGGGCGUGUAGGCGGCUUCGUAAGUCUCAUUGUGAAAGCCCUCGGCUCAACCGAGGAACUGCAUGGGAAACUGCGGAGCUUGAGUCCGGGAGAGGAGAGCGGAAUUCCCAGUGUAGCGGUGAAAUGCGUAGAUAUUGGGAGGAACACCGGUGGCGAAGGCGGCUCUCUGGACCGGUACUGACGCUGAGACGCGAAAGCUAGGGGAGCAAACGGGG